rnacentral:lncRNA from 1 species
AGAAAGAUAGCGACAUCAAUAGCUUUCUGAUUUUUUUUUUUAACUUAACAGCUGCAGUGAAAAGAGAAGAUGAUAGGCACAAUGAAAGAAAAAGUCAGAGAAGGCUAAAAAAGAGGAGAUCUGGACAAAAAGAAAGGAAUCCUAAAAGAAGAUUUCAUUCAUAGACAUAGAUGGAGAAGUAUUAGAAACUAAUCCAGAAAACAAAUGAGAACUGUGUAUGUAGAAACUACUUUUGUAAAUUAGAUGCUCUACUAAGGAAGGCAACCCAAAAUGAAAUACAGUCAGGAUCCGUAAAUUGGAUGAGUGAGUUGAAACUUCCCUAACCCUCCCAGAUUCCAUCUCUUUUCUCUUACAUUAUGCUUCCAGGUACAUUUAUGAAAGUGCUUCUUGGUCUAAUUUGCUCACAUCCUUGAGAAUAUGAAGAUGAAUGUGAAUUUGAAUUUUGAGGAACUCCCCAGCUUUUAAGGGGCAAUAAAUUUGAAAGCAAAUAAGCACAAGAGAGUGACAUCAGCUUCUGGAACACUGGUCUCCUCCUGCCCUCAAACUGGGCCAUCCACCAUCGUGUUUCUGGUCCUCAGGCCUUCAGAUUCAGGCUGGAACUAC